UUGGUCAUUUAGAGGAAGUAAAAGUCGUAACAAGGUUUCCGUAGGUGAACCUGCGGAAGGAUCAUUAGCGAACCGAACGAAAAAAAGGGCUGUCGCUGCGCCUCUCACCCGAGGCGCGUGCACGCCCGCCCCACCCACGUACCCCGUGAACCUCAUCGUGGGGACCUCCUGGGUCUCCCGCGGAAGAAAAACAAACCCCACUCGUCGAAUGUCUCUUGCGUGUAACGCAUGUCGUACAACUUUCAGCAACGGAUCUCUUGGCUCUCGCAUCGAUGAAGAACGCAGCGAAACGCGAUAAGUAAUGUGAAUUGCAGAAUUCAGUGAAUCAUCGAAUCUUUGAACGCACCUUGCGCCCCUCGGCUCCGCCGAGGAGCAUGCCUGUUUGAGCGUCACGAACACCAUCGAUCAGGUCAYGUGACUCGUCACGUGACCCGGUUGGACUUGGAGGGCACGUGCCGGCCGUCUCGGUCGGCUCCUCUCGAACGCAUUAGCCGGUCCGCGGCGCAUCGUCGGCGUGAUAUCUUUUUGUCUGCCGUGCGAGCGUGGGCGGGUCGGCUUCCAGUCGUCUUCGGACAGCUUUCCACCAUCUGACCUCAAAUCAGGUAGGACCACCCGCUGAACUUAAGCAUAUCAAUAAGCGGAGGA
rnacentral:rRNA from 1 species